UUUACCGCUCAGCCACCGCGCCUCCAAAGGUGGUACUAGUAGAGUCUAAUUGAGUCAAAGUUAAAGGAGGCGAUAGAUGGGGAGUAAUAAAUAAAAAAAAAAACUGCAACUCCUCCUUGAGUGUAUGUGUACAAUUGGACGUGUCCCUCCUCAGGCCCGACGGAUCACAGCAAUGCAAGGCGCUCUACGACAUCACCAAGAAGAAGAACCACCGACAGAAUUUGCCCGCCGCCUUUGAAGCCUGCUUCUUCAUGAUGUCUUCGCCCCUGUUCGUGCAUUGCUACGACGACGACCACCACGGGAACCGGUUGCUUCCCUUGUUUAGCAGGUGUGUGCGGUCGUUCCGGAACAAAAAUCGGCUGAACUGUGAGGACAGUGACCAGAACAUUUGUCGCUGUGCACAGCUGGUCAAUAGGACGUCCAGCUACCACGAGUAUAACAGAAUCUGUUGCCGCAGUGUACGGAAAAGUUAACAGCGGACACCGGUUGCAUCCCUUUGGUGAAAUAAACACUCAUUUAAUUA
rnacentral:sRNA from 1 species